CGCCCGUCACACCAUGAGAGCUGAUAAUACCAGAAGUCGGUAUUCUAACCGCAAGGAGGAAGCCGCCCAAGGUAGGAUUGAUGAUUAGGGUGAAGUCGUAACAAGGUAUCCGUACGAGAACGUGCGGAUGGAUCACCUCCUUUCUAUGGAGUUAAUACUUUAUAGUAAUUAACUAGUUUUAAUGACCGUUAUGUUUAGUUUUCAGAGAUUAGUUUCUCUGACAAUAACAAGUAAAUGUUAUUGGAAUUGUUCUUUGAAAACUGGAUAAUAGACAUCUAGUUAUUUUAAUCACAUGAUUAAAAUAACAAUAAUUCAAAAUUUCUGUUAUUUUUAAAAAAUAACUAAAAUUUCACAGUUAUAUUUGUAAAUGAUUCUCAAAAAACUGAUUUAAAAUCAGGUCAAAUAAUUUAUAAAACUUUGAAGUUACAAAGGGCGUAUGGUGAAUGCCUUGGGAAUAGGAGACGAUGAAGGACGUGACUACCUGCGAUAAGGUUCGGGGAGCUGGAAGUAAGCUUUGAUCCGGACAUGUCCGAAUGGGGAAACCCGGUGAGAUUAAUCUCUCAUCGUCCUAUAAUGAAUAAAUAGUUAUAGUGAAGGUAUACCUAGGGAAUUGAAACAUCUUAGUACCUAGAGGAAAAGAAAGCGAAUGCGAUUCUCUUAGUAGCGGCGAGCGAACGGGGAACAGCCCAAACCAGAUUUAUCUGGGGUUGUAGGACCAUAAUAGUAGAGUUACAAAACUUGUUUAUAGUAGAAAUGGUUGGGAAACCAUGCCGUAGAGGGUGAUAGCCCCGUAUACGAAAUAGACAAGACUCGAAAUGGAAUCCUGAGUACGGCGAGACACGUGAAAUCUUGUCGGAAUCAACGCGGACCACCGCGUAGGGCUAAAUACUACCUAUUCACCGAUAGUGAACCA
rnacentral:sRNA from 1 species